rnacentral:lncRNA from 1 species
CUCAUUAGCCAUGUUGAGAAAAACUAAUUUUAGAUGCCUUAGAAAACAUUAUGUUUGAGAGAAAAAGGAAAACCCAGUUACCUCUACUCCAGGAGGUUUGAUUUGACCAAUAGCUUUUGCUGCACCAAAAGUAGCAGCAGCGCCGCCCAUAUCAAAUUUCAUUAAUUCUAUGGAACAGCCUGGCCCAGUCUUUAUGUUGUAACCACCACUACAAUAACCAAGGAAAGAAGCAUUAAUCAGUCCUGUUCAGUUAUUUGCUUUACACUAGAAGCAUGUACAUCCUGCAAAAAAAUUAUUAAAGCACAAAAUACAGCAUCUGGAAAGAUAUGAUUUAGAAAGAUAACCUCCGUGACUCUGGCAUUACUGGCAAAAGCUUACAAUUGCACAGAAUGAAAGAGAAAAAACAACUUUUCUUGCUUUAACUUCUUGGAAUCAAGAAAUAUACUUAAAGAUGUUAAAUUCUUGUGUAAGGACAUUUACCUGUCAAAUGUUAAACCUUUCCCAACAAUAGCCAGCUUUCUUUUCACAUCACCACCUGGAGGCUUAUAACACAAAUGGAUAAAACGAGGAGGGUUCGCAGAUGCUGCAGCAACACCCAAGUAUGAACCCAUCUUUAGCUCCUUGCAUUGCUCCACGUCUAGUAUAUUUGCAGUAAAAACAUCACUAUACGAGGAAGCAACUUUUGAAGCCUCUUCCGCAAGUACACCUGAAGGCAAGAAAGGUUACUAUAAGAAACAUCAAUUUCCAAGUUCUAGGAAUGAAGUCAAAUCUGGGAAAAUUAAAAGGAUCCAAAGUCUACUA